rnacentral:rRNA from 1 species
ACGGGUGAGUAAUGCCUGGGAAAUUGCCCUGAUGUGGGGGAUAACCAUUGGAAACGAUGGCUAAUACCGCAUAAUAGCUUCGGCUCAAAGAGGGGGACCUUCGGGCCUCUCGCGUCAGGAUAUGCCCAGGUGGGAUUAGCUAGUUGGUGAGGUAAGGGCUCACCAAGGCGACGAUCCCUAGCUGGUCUGAGAGGAUGAUCAGCCACACUGGAACUGAGACACGGUCCAGACUCCUACGGGAGGCAGCAGUGGGGAAUAUUGCACAAUGGGCGCAAGCCUGAUGCAGCCAUGCCGCGUGUAUGAAGAAGGCCUUCGGGUUGUAAAGUACUUUCAGCAGUGAGGAAGGCAGGUACGUUAAUAGCGUGCUUGUUUGACGUUAGCUGCAGAAGAAGCACCGGCUAACUCCGUGCCAGCAGCCGCGGUAAUACGGAGGGUGCGAGCGUUAAUCGGAAUUACUGGGCGUAAAGCGCAUGCAGGUGGUUUGUUAAGUCAGAUGUGAAAGCCCGGGGCUCAACCUCGGAAUUGCAUUUGAAACUGGCAGACUAGAGUACUGUAGAGGG